GACGAACGCUGGCGGCGUGCCUAAUACAUGCAAGUAGAACGCUGAAGGAGGAGCUUGCUUCUCUGGAUGAGUUGCGAACGGGUGAGUAACGCGUAGGUAACCUGCCUGGUAGCGGGGGAUAACUAUUGGAAACGAUAGCUAAUACCGCAUAAUAGUAGAUGUUGCAUGACAUUUGCUUAAAAGGUGCAAUUGCAUCACUACCAGAUGGACCUGCGUUGUAUUAGCUAGUUGGUGGGGUAACGGCUCACCAAGGCGACGAUACAUAGCCGACCUGAGAGGGUGAUCGGCCACACUGGGACUGAGACACGGCCCAGACUCCUACGGGAGGCAGCAGUAGGGAAUCUUCGGCAAUGGACGGAAGUCUGACCGAGCAACGCCGCGUGAGUGAAGAAGGUUUUCGGAUCGUAAAGCUCUGUUGUAAGAGAGGAACGAGUGUGAGAGUGGAAAGUUCACACUGUGACGGUAGCUUACCAGAAAGGGACGGCUAACUACGUG
rnacentral:rRNA from 1 species